ensembl:snoRNA
CAGCCAGCCAUUGAUUCUGCUUACUUGAUUGUGUUUCUGCAGAAAUUUAGAAAAAGCUGGCAAUAACAGUAAAGCCAUGUUACAAGCCUUAAGGAUAAUUGAGAUCAUUAAGGUCCCUGAAAAUGGCUACAUUA